rnacentral:rRNA from 1 species
AGUGAACGCUGGCGGUAGGCCUAACACAUGCAAGUCGAACGGCAGCACAGUAAGAGCUUGCUCUUACGGGUGGCGAGUGGCGGACGGGUGAGGAAUACAUCGGAAUCUACUUUUUCGUGGGGGAUAACGUAGGGAAACUUACGCUAAUACCGCAUACGACCUACGGGUGAAAGCAGGGGAUCGUCGGACCUUGCGCGAUUGAAUGAGCCGAUGUCGGAUUAGCUAGUUGGCGGGGUAAAGGCCCACCAAGGCGACGAUCCGUAGCUGGUCUGAGAGGAUGAUCAGCCACCCUGGAACUGAGACACGGUCCAGACUCCUACGGGAGGCAGCAGUGGGGAAUAUUGGACAAUGGUCGCAAGCCUGAUCCAGCCAUACCGCGUGGGUGAAGAAGGCCUUCGGGUUGUAAAGCCCUUUUGUUGGGAAAGAAAAGCAGCAGGUUAAUACCCCGCUGUUCUGACGGUACCCAAAGAAUAAGCACCGGCUAACUUCGUG